rnacentral:tRNA from 1 species
GUUUUUAUAGUUGAAUAACAACGGCGGUUUUUCAAGUCGUAGGUCUUGGUUAAAAUCCUAGUAAAAAUU